AUACGUAGGUGACAAGCGUUAUCCGGAUUUACUGGGCGUAAAGGGCGUGUAGGCGGUCUUGCAAGUCAGAAGUGAAAUUCCUGAGCUCAACUCGGGCGCUGCUUCUGAAACUGCAGGACUUGAGUGCUGGAGGGGAUAGCGGAAUUCCUAGUGGAGCGGUAAAAUGCGCAGAUAUUAGGAAGAACACCGGUGGCGAAGGCGGCUAACUGGACAGUAACCGACGCUGAGGCGCGAAAGCGUGGGGAGCAAACAGAAUUAGAUACCCGGGUAGUCCACGCCGUAAACGAUGAAUACUAGGUGUAGGGGGUAUCGACUCCCUCUGUGCCGCAGUUAACACAAUAAGUAUUCCGCCUGGGGAGUACGGCCGCAAGGUUGAAACUCAAAGGAAUUGACGGGG
rnacentral:rRNA from 1 species